UGGGGAAUAUUGGGCAAUGGGGGGAAACCCUGACCCAGCAACGCCGCGUGAAGGAAGAAGGCCCUCGGGUUGUAAACUUCUUUUACCAGGGACGAAGGACGUGACGGUACCUGGAGAAAAAGCAACGGCUAACUACGUGCCAGCAGCCGCGGUAAUACGUAGGUUGCAAGCGUUGUCCGGAUUUACUGGGUGUAAAGGGCGUGUAGGCGGAGAUGCAAGUUGGGAGUGAAAUCCCGGGGCUCAACCCCGGAACUGCUUUCAAAACUGUAUCCCUUGAGUAUCGGAGAGGCAAGCGGAAUUCCUAGUGUAGCGGUGAAAUGCGUAGAUAUUAGGAGGAACACCAGUGGCGAAGGCGGCUUGCUGGACGACAACUGACGCUGAGGCGCGAAAGCGUGGGGAGCAAACAGGAUUAGAUACCCUGGUAGU
rnacentral:rRNA from 1 species